rnacentral:tRNA from 1 species
GCCGGGCUGGGGAAGAGGUUGAACCCAACUCCCCCUGCAACGGGGAGGCGCAGCAGCCUACGCGGGUUCGAAUCCCGCCCCCGGCU